AUGAACGCUAGCGGCAGGCCUAACACAUGCAAGGUCAGGGGCAGCACAGGUAGCAAGUACUGGGUGGCGACCGGCGGAUGGGUGCGUAACGCGUAUCGCAACCUACCAUUGAAUUGGGGCAUAGCCCGAAGAAAUUCGGAUUAAUACUCCAUAAUAUUCAUCAAAGGCAUCUUUUAUGAAUUAAAGCUUUUGCGAUCAAUGAUGGGCAUGCGUGACAUUAGUUAGUUGGUGAGGUAACGGCUCACCAAAACGAUGAUGUCUAGGGGUUCUGAGAGGAUUAUCCCCCACACUGGUACUGAGACACGGACCAGACUCCUACGGGAGGCAGCAGUGAGGAAUAUUGGUCAAUGGACGCAAGUCUGAACCAGCCAUGCCGCGUGCAGGAUGACGGCCCUAUGGGUUGUAAACUGCUUUUCCACGGGAAGAACCCUCCGACGUGUCGGAGACUGACGGUACCGUGGGAAUAAGCAUCGGCUAACUCCGUG
rnacentral:rRNA from 1 species